GUGUGUGCUCCUUGUCUGACUUGAUAUGAGAACUAACCCAAUAUGGCAGGAAGCCACUGACAUGUGGGAGCCGUGCAUGGCAGUGGCCAGCGUCCUUGUCCUGCGGGGGCUCUGUGGACAUCACUCGCCUUCAGAACACUGAGCCCUCCUACCUCCUGAUAUCCAGGGCUGCCGAUGGGAAAUCCCAGGCUGCCGCGGCUCCUGUGUGCUUUGAAGCCACUGCCAGGAAGAUCUGAAAGAGAGUAAACCGGGACCACGUGGUUCUGCUUGGGUCGGUGCCAGCGGCCUGGUUUCUGAAGGCUUCUGAACAUCAGCAUCUCUCUCCAGAUCCACGGCUGCUACGUG
ensembl:lncRNA TSPEAR-AS2 TSPEAR antisense RNA 2